rnacentral:rRNA from 1 species
AUACGUAGGGUGCGAGCGUUGUCCGGAAUUACUGGGCGCAAAGAGCUCGUAGGUGGUUUGUCGCGUCGUCUGUGAAAUUCCGGGGCUUAACUCCGGGCGUGCAGGCGAUACGGGCAUAACUUGAGUACUGUAGGGGAGACUGGAAUUCCUGGUGUAGCGGUGAAAUGCGCAGAUAUCAGGAGGAACACUGGUGGCGAAGGCGAGUCUCUGGGCAGGAACUGACGCUGAGGAGCGAAAGCAUGGGUAGCGAACAGGAUUAGAUACCCUGGUAGUCCAUGCCGUAAACGGUGGGCGCUAGGUGUAGGGGUCUUCCACGACUUCUGUGCCGUAGCUAACGCAUUAAGCGCCCCGCCUGGGGAGUACGGCCGCAAGGCUAAAACUCAAAUGAAUUGACGGGG